GCCCUUUCUCUUCCGUCGGCCUUCUUCGUUGAGCCUCACCACGCUGUCCAUUCUUCUCGGCUCAGUCAAUGCGGUCUACCCUCUUGCUGAAGUCGCUCCUUUCUACAAAUAUGGAUUGAAGCUGAAUCGAAGUUCUUGAGUCCUGGCGGAGUUGGUCUAUUUCUUCCAUCUGGCGGAGCGGGUGGAUUUCCGACAAAUCUAGCUCCACGUUUGUUAUAUUUCUUUCAUCUUGUUUUGCUUUUUGUUCAUGCGGAAAUCUUGCCCCUUGUAAUCCCAAAGCUGCAAUCUUGACUGGACCUUCUAACUAACCUUCAUCAUUUAGAUUGUAAGAUGGAUUUGUAGGUAUAUUACUGGUUAUUAACCUAAUAUGUUUAUGUGAAUCUUGAAAACAAUAAUUGUUGUAGCUGUAGCUAUAUUUGAACCCUAUACCAAAACUGAUAGAUUCGCACAUUUCAUCAAUUCUGUUACGUGAAAUGUGAAAAUUUUAUUGAUGAACCUAGUUGAAUUUUUUGCCGCACUUUUCUAAUGAUUCAAAAUGUGAAAUGUGAAAUUUUUAACAUAUUAUGUUUAAUGAUAAAAGUGAAGUACAGAUUUUUGUACUUUUAAUGCCUGCUAAUAUGAAUUAUAGAGUAGGAAAAGUGAAGUAUAGAGUAGGAAAAGCAAAUUUUAACUUCUCUAUGUAACUUGCAAUGUUAAAAGUGAAGUAUAGAGUAGUAAAAGCAAACCUUGAUUGAGAAAUUGUUUAGCGGCACAUGUUUAAUGUUUGCUAAAUAUGAAAUGUGAUCUUGCAUAUGUGUCUCAAAUGUGAGAUUUAUUAUUUACAUUCUGUUGUUCAAAGUAAGGAUUGUUUUUCACAUUUUUAUGUAAGGAAUUAUUUUGUCAUUACACUUUCCACUUGUACACUUCCCACAUCUUUACAUUUCUUGUAUUCAAUUUGUUAUCAACAUUUUUAUAUGCAAGGAAUGAUUUUCUCAGUACUAUAUAAAAUUUUCAGAAUCUUUAUCGCUUAAAUUUCUAUGGAUGCAGAUAUGGAGCCUAGAAAAUCGCCAAGAUCAAGAAAACAAAUCCAGUCUGAACUUUCUAGCGAUGCAUCCAGUGAUGAUGAUGUUUCUUCUAGAUCCAAAAGCACUACUAACAGCAAAAGAACUUCUCCAAAGAAGAUUAAGAG
rnacentral:lncRNA from 1 species